AACGAACGCUGGCGGCAGGCUUAACACAUGCAAGUCGAACGGGUGCAGCAAUGCAUCAGUGGCAGACGGGUGAGUAACACGUGGGAACCUUCCUAGGGGUACGGAACAACUCAGGGAAACUUGAGCUAAUACCGUAUACGUCCGAGAGGAGAAAGAUUUAUCGCCCUUAGACGGGCCCGCGUCGGAGUAGCUAGUUGGUGGGGUAACGGCCUACCAAGGCGACGAUCCGUAGCUGAUCUUAGAGGAUGAUCAGCCACACUGGGACUGAGACACGGCCCAGACUCCUACGGGAGGCAGCAGUGGGGAAUCUUGGACAAUGGGCGCAAGCCUGAUCCAGCCAUGCCGCGUGAGUGAAGAAGGUCUUCGGAUUGUAAAGCUCUUUUGCCAGGGACGAUAAUGACGGUACCUGGAGAAUAAGCCCCGGCAAACUUCGUGCCAGCAGCCGCCGUAAAAC
rnacentral:rRNA from 1 species